CCUACGGGUGGCAGCAGUGGGGGAUAUUGCACAAUGGGGGAAACCCUGAUGCAGCGACGCCGCGUGAGUGAAGAAGUAUUUCGGUAUGUAAAGCUCUUUCAGCAGGGAAGAUAAAAGACGGUACCUGACUAAGAAGCCCCGGCUAACUACGUGCCAGCAGCCGCGGUAAUAGGUAGGUGCAAGCGUUACUCGGAAUUACUGGGCGUAAAGGGAGCGUAGGCGGGAAAUCAAGUCAGAAGUGAAAUACCAGGGCUCAACCUGGGAACUGCUUUUGAAACUGUAUGGCUGGAGUGCUGGAGAGGUAAGCGGAAUUCCUAGUGUAGCGGUGAAAUGCGUAGAUAUUAGGAGGAACACUAGUGGCGAAGGCGGCUUACUGGACAGUAACUGACGUUGAGGCUCGAAAGCGUGGGGAGCAAACAGGAUUAGAUACCCUUGUAGUC
rnacentral:rRNA from 1 species